rnacentral:rRNA from 1 species
UACGUAGGUCCCGAGCGUUAUCCGGAUUUAUUGGGUUUAAAGGGUGCGUAGGCGGAUCGUUAAGUCAGUGGUCAAAUUGAGGGGCUCAACCCCUUCCCGCCAUUGAAACUGGCGAUCUUGAGUGGAAGAGAAGUAUGCGGAAUGCGUGGUGUAGCGGUGAAAUGCAUAGAUAUCACGCAGAACCCCGAUUGCGAAGGCAGCAUGCCGGCUUCCUACUGACGCUGAAGCACGAAAGCGUGGGGAUCGAGCAGG